GGGCGAUGAAGACAAAAUCAUUUCUCGAUCCUGAUUUUGUUUCCUUAAACAAAAUUUCGACCGUAGUGUCGUCAUCUGAUGACCAAUUUGUGCGUGUCUGAGCCCU